CCCCACUGGAAUUCCUGUCUCCCCACCCACACUCCCCAGCCCCAUCCCUUGGGGCCCCCAGUUCCCCCCAGUUCACUGUCUUUGGGGCCCCCAAGUCCCACUCCGUUCCCCUCGUCCUUGGAGGCCCCGAAUUCCCCUCGCUCUCCUUGUCUCCAUCCCCACCGUGGUCCCUGCAGGAACAGGGGUCAGGUGAGAAUGGCCGGAGUGGGACUGGGAGGGAGCAGAAGGGAUUUUCCCCCUCAGACCGGGGACUUGGGGACACCUGUGACCCCCGAGCCCCACAAGGGCCAAUCCAGACGAAACCUUUGCUCUGCUUCUGCAGAUAAGCGUAGUAGGAGGCCAAGGUGGAUGCAUUGAGGUAAGUCCUGGAACUGGGGCACCAGUGUGGGAACUGGGGGCCAGUUGGGUCCCCCCAUGCCUUGCUGGGACCAGGGACACUCCAGUGACAUCUCCUCAUCUCUACAGGUAAAGAAAGGCACCCAGCGAGUGAAGCGGUCUGAGGUGGGUACCCAGAGUUCUGCUGGGCCCAGAGCCUCCCCUGUCAUGGUCAUGACCCUCCAGGGCAUCCCAGUGCACGCCAGUACACCCCACUGUGCCUCAGUACACCCCGGCAUGCGCCAGUAUCUCCCAACAUGCCCCAGUAUCCUCCGGUGCUGCUCUAACCCCGUCUUUCUCCCCAGCCCCCCGUGGCUGAGCAGGUGGAGCUUCUGCGGGAGUGAUGCCCGGCUGCCCCUCUGGAUGCCCUGGACUGGAACUGGUGGUGACACUCGCGUCCUGUCCCCCUCCAGCAGCAUGAGGAGAUGAUCAUCCCUGGAUAACCCCCCUGAUCCCCUGGGAGCCCUGGGAAUUUCCCUGGAGUAAUCAAUAAACCCCUACAGCAAAGCAACUCUGUGUGUCC
rnacentral:lncRNA from 1 species